rnacentral:lncRNA from 1 species
GGCCUCCAUUCCUCUACCUCUAGAAUGGAGAUUGGGGAUGCUGGCAGUUUCUUCCCUCCCAUCUUGGAAAGUGCUCCUUAUUCUGUCCUACCAUAAUAGAACUGGCAAGGAUCUCUUUUGCAAAGGCCUCUUCCGUGCGGGCAUAGUUCUCCACAUGGAUAAGCAUGUCCAAAAAAUCUUGAGGAUAAGUCUUGGUCAAUGACUUCUUCAAGUCGUUCCUCAGUAGGCCACCCAUCAUUAUGGCCAUCACAGUUGACCGAUCC